GGCAUGUUUUUUUUUUCUAGCUGACUAAUGGGACACUGCUAGCAGAGUUAGUAUUGUCGUUUGGCGGCCAUUUUAGCAUUAGCAAUACCCGCGGGCAUCUGUUUCCGAUUUGAACAACCAAAUUCAUGAUGUUCCGAGAAUACACACACGGUUAUCUUUAUUAGAUGCAUGUACUAUUUUAUCGCUUUCAUGUAUUGUCGUUAUAGCUCAACACCCCAACGGCACGCUUUUGGUUAUGGCUAACACUCAAACCGCAUGUGGCACUGCUAGCAGAGUUGCUAGUCCUGUCAUUUGGCGGCCAUUUUAGCGUUAGCAAUGCCCGCGGGCAUCUGCUUCCUAUUUGAACAACCAACUUUAUGCAUGAUAUUCCGAGCAUACACAAACGGGUUUAUUUGUGAGCAAAUGUGUGUAUGUUGCAGCUAAACUUAACAGUAGCUAUGUCCGAGAGUGGGGGCACGCUAGCCUGGUUAUAAUCGACUUUAAAAGGUGUUGCGUGAGGGCACGGCCUGGCUUGGGGCACACCGACUGGAUUGUUAGACCGAAGUCUUGCAAACCAAUUGGCUAGAGCUCUAGUCUGGAAUUCUCCAUCACGACUCGCUCGCUGUCUGCACGACUACAGAAGAGUGUAGGUAUUGAGUGUGCAUGGAUAUCCUCGUUUUCCCCCGCUAAUUAAUUCUGGCUUUGUGUUUUUGUUAUAGCCUGCCGCCUAACCUGAUGACAAUGGAUGGCUUUGAUGAAGCCACUCGUUCGGUAUUGGAAGCUGACGGUCUACACAAAAAUGUUCAAGCGACUCCAGAAUAUGAGAUCCCCAUGCAGGAAGAGGCAGGGCCCCGUUCUUCUGAGAGGCCCAGCAAAGACUCUCCAGUGAAGACCAAGACAUUGACACGGAUUUGACAGACACGAGCGGAUCGGCUGAUAGUCAUUCUUGAGAGCAGAGAAGACCUCAGUGAUGACAACUGCAGUGCAGUGUCCCCAGCACGAGAUCCCCCUGUGCCAAAAAAGGCAAAGAGUGGCACCAAAGCUUCCAUUCCAUCACCCAGGACUGCAAUUGCUUCACCAACCAUGCCUGCGAAAGAUGUUGCUGAAGCGUCCCCAGCACGAGAUCCCCCUGUGCCAAAAAAGACAGAGUGGCACCAAAGCAGCCUUCCAUCAUCCAGGUCUUCCUCACCGGCACCCAUGACUGUGAUUGCUUCACCAACCAUGCCUGCAAAAGAUGUUGCUGCGGGUCUCGACAGUCUGAAGAUGCAGGCCAGACACUACAAAACCUUGAGCAACAUGGACAACAAGCCCAAUGCAAAACCCAAUCAAAGAGAUGUGGCGCAAAUUCUGGACCUCGACUUCGAAGCCAGACGGGCCUUUAUCGAUUCAGAGGUUACCAAGAAAGAAGACCGACCUGCAAACAUCCUUGAUGGAUGUUCGAAACGUAAAUUGAAAUCAUAACCUUAGAGUACAGCAACUACUUUUUGCUCAGCAAAGCAAGUGUCCCCUAUAUUAACGUCUUAUUUGCUGUGAUGGUGGUUGGCAGCACAAAGACUGUUUAAGAUCCUGUCUGAUCCUUGCAUCCUGAAAUACAGGCUUUGAAUAAAUCUUCACAUUUCUCUCAGCCCUUAUGCAGCAGCAUUUUAACACUGUAUGCUGAAAUACAGGAUAGGUAUACCCCACUCCCAGGUGAAAUUGAGCCUUGAAAUAGUAACCUUAGAGUACAGCAACUACUUUAAGAUGGUAAUAUAGGUGACAAUUGCUUUGCUGAGCAUAUUUGCUGUGAUGGGGGUUGGCAACACAGACUGUUUUAACCCAGUUUUGUACCUUCAGAAGCGCAUUCUCUAUUCUGCUCUUUCAUGGGUCACAUUAAGACAGUGGCUGGGUUACCUGAAAAACGUUUCUGCUCACUUGCACAACUCCAGGGACUAUGUGACUCAAUUUCGCUUAGGAUUGGGGUACAUGUUUAAGACAACUUAGAUGUACUGGGACCCCAGUAAUAAAAGGAAAUUAAAUUCUCAGACAACAUGAGGUAGCGUUUUUCCAACAUUGUAUCCUGAAAUACAGGCGUUAUUAAGGGAUACCCCACUCCGAGGUCAAAUUGAGCCACUUAAAGUCCCCAUAUUCGGAUAAGUGAGCAGGAGAGUUUUCCCGGUGACUCAGCCACUGCCUCAAUUUCACUUUGGGGUGGGGUAUUGGUCAAAGACCAACAACUUAGACCCACUGAAUAAUUCCAAAAAAACAGCAAUUAACUUGUGAAACACACAAAACAAUGCAAUAGUAACAAUCAGUUAUCAACAACUGACAGAUUUACUUGUCAAUGAAUGCGUUCCACUCGGCCAUUGCUUUUUUGUAUGAACUAGGGGCAUCCUUAUCAUGGAGGGCGUCACCAAUGACCUCCGUUUGAAUAACAGAGAGCAGGGUUGCCACACAUUUGGGGUAUGUGAGGUGCAAUGUAAUAAUAGUACGCCAUCAACACCAACAUGCCUUCUGAAAAAUCUUCCUGCUUGAGGGUUGUAAUGGGUACGUUACCCACAACCACAAUGGUAGAGCCAUCAAACAGCAGAACUGGGGAGCAGAGAGGAAUGUGUCUGUAUGCUGAAAUACAGAAGACAUAUCAAUGUUAAAAUGCUGUUUCAUAAGGACUGAUAUACAGGCUUUGAAUAAGUCUCUUUACAUUUCUCUCAGUUCUUAUGAAGCAGCUUUUUAACAUUGUAUGCUGAAAUACAGGAUGGGUAUAACUUAAGGGAUACCUGACUCCCAGGUGAAAUUGAGCCUCAAUUUGGCAGCACAGACGGUUGAAUUCAUAACCUUAGAGUACAGCAACUACUUUAUGCUCAACAUCUUAUUUGCUGUGAUGGUGGUUGGCAGCACAAAGACUGUUUAAGAUCCUGUCUGAUCCUUGCAUCCUGAAAUACAGGCUUUGAAUACAUCUCUUCACAUUUCUCUCAGUCCUUAUGAAGCAGCUUUUUAACAUUGUAUGCUGAAAUACAGGAUGGGUAUAACUUCAGGGAUAUCCCACUCCCAGGUGAAAUCGAGCCUCAAUUUGGCAGCACAAACGUUUGAGAUCGUAACCUUGGAGUACAGUCCUUAUGAAGCAGCAUUUUAACAUUGUAUGCUGAAAUACAGGAUAGGUAAAACUUAAGGGAUACCCCACUCCCAGGUGAAAUUGAGCCUCAAUUUGGCAGCACAGACGGUUUAAUUCAUAACCUUAGAGUACAGCAAUUACUUUAUGCUCAACAUCUUAUUUGCUGUGAUGGUGGUUGGCAGCACAAAGACUGUUUAAGAUCCUGUCUGAUCCUUGCAUCCUGAAAUACAGGCUUUGAAUAAAUCUCUUCACAUUUCUCUCAGCCUUUGUGCAGCAGCAUUUUAACACUGUAUGCUGAAAUACAGGAUAGGUAUACCCCACUCCCAGGUGAAAUUGAGCCUUGAAAUAGUAACCUUAGAGUACAGCAACUACUUUAAGAUGGUAAUAUAGGUGACAAUUGCUUUGCUGAGCAUAUUUGCUGUGAUGGGGGUUGGCAACACAAAGACUGUUUUAACCCGGUCCUGUACCUUCAGAAGUGCACUCUCUAUUCUGCUCUUUCAUGGGUCACAUUAAGACAGUGGCUGGGUUACCUGAAAAACAUUUCUGCUCACUUGCACAACUCCAGGGACUAUGUGACUCAAUUUCGCUUAGGAUUGGGGUACAUGUUUAAGACAACUUAGAUGUACUGGGACCCCAGUAAUAAAAGGAAAUUAAAUUCUCAGACAUUAUGAGGUAGCGUUUUUCCAACAUUGUAUCCUGAAAUACAGGCGUUAUUAAGGGAUACCCCACUCCGAGGUCAAAUUGAGCCACUUAAAGUCCCCAUAUUCGGAUAAGUGAGCAGGAGAGUUUUCCCGGUGACUCAGCCACUGCCUCAAUUUCACUUUGGGGUGGGGUAUUGGUCAAAGACCAACAACUUAGACCCAUUGAAUAAUUACAAAAAACAGCAAUUAACUUGUGAAACACACAAAACAAUGCAAUAGUAACAUAAACAGUAAUCAACAACUGACAGAUUUACUUGUCAAUGAAUGCGUUCCACUCGGCCAUUGCUUUUUUUGUAUGAUCUAGUGGCAUCCUUAUUAUGGAGGGCGUCACCAAUGACCUCCGUUUGAAUAACAGAGAGCAGGGUUGCCACACAUUUGGGGUAUGUGAGGUGCAAUGUAAUAAUAGUACGCCAUCAACACCAACAUCCCUUCUGAAAAAUCUUCUUGCUUGAGGGUUGUAACAGGUACGUUACCCACAGCCACGAUUGUAGUUGAGCCAUCAAACAGCAGAACUGGGGGGCAGAGAGGAAUGUCUGAUCUGUCUUCUGUAUUUCAGCAUACAAUGUUCAAAUGCUGUUUCAUAAGGACUGAUAUACAGGCUUUGAAUAAGUCUCUUUACAUUUCUAUGAGUGCAAUGUUGGAAAAUGCUGACAACUGUGAUUUUGUGUGAACAAGGAGGAAAUAAUAAAUGUUAAAUAUGUUAA